AGAGCCGCCUAGAUGCAAAGAUAAAUCUCAUGCAACCCCGGAUAAAAUCAAAUCCUGCGCAGCGCAGUCCACAUAAUCUUCAAAGGUAUUUUCUUCCUUCCUUGCCGGUGGGAUAGAAAACUAGGUAUAUGGGAAGACGCCUGCUUUUCGUGGCUGAUAUUGAUAUUGAUAUGGAUAUCGAGUGAUGGCGAUAGUUAAAUAUGCGCCUGGAAAAUUGGAGACUUUGGGUUGGUUCAAUUCGCUCGUUUCAAAACUGGGUGGAACAGGAGUUGUUGUAUAAAGGAUGGUUUGAGCUGUUGGCAGAGGAGGAAGAGAAGAA
rnacentral:sRNA from 1 species